GACGAACGCUGGCGGCAUGCCUAAUACAUGCAAGUCGAGCGAACAGAUGAAGUGCUUGCACUUCUGACGUUAGCGGCGAACGGGUGAGUAACACGUAAGGAAUCUACCUAUAAGCGGGGGAUAACAUUCGGAAACGGGUGCUAAUACCGCAUAAUAUCUUCUUCCGCAUGGAAGAAGAUUGAAAGACGGCUCUGCUGUCACUUAUAGAUGACCUUGCGGUGCAUUAGUUAGUUGGAGGGGUAACGGCCUACCAAGACGAUGAUGCAUAGCCGACCUGGGUGGGUGAUCGACCACAUUGGGACUGAGACACGGCCCGAACUCCUACGGGAGGCAGCAGUAGGGAAUCUUCCGCAAUGGGCGAAAGCCUGACGGAGCAAUGCCGCGUGAGUGAAGAAGGCCGUCGGAUCGUAAAACUCUGUUAUAAGAGAAGAACAAAUUGUAGAGUACCUGCUACAGUCUUGACGGUAUCUUAUCAGAAAGCCACGGCUAACUACGUGCCAGCCGCCGCGGUAA
rnacentral:rRNA from 1 species